rnacentral:tRNA from 1 species
GUCUGUGUAGAUUAAUUAUAAAUUGUAAGGCUGUUAACCUUGAGAUAGUUUCUUUAUUUGCAGGCG